GAUGAACGCUGGCGGCGUGCUUAACACAUGCAAGUCGAACGAAGCAUUUACGACAGGUUUCUUCGGAUUGAAGUUGUUUAUGACUGAGUGGCGGACGGGUGAGUAACGCGUGGGUAACCUGCCUUGUACUGGGGGAUAGUAGCUGGAAACGGCUGGUAAUACCGCAUAAGCGCACGGUGCUGCAUGGCACAGGGUGAAAAACUCCGGUGGUAUAAGAUGGACCCGCGUCUGAUUAGCUAGUUGGUGAGAUAACAGCCCACCAAGGCGACGAUCAGUAGCCGACCUGAGAGGGUGACCGGCCACAUUGGGACUGAGACACGGCCCAGACUCCUACGGGAGGCAGCAGUGGGGAAUAUUGCACAAUGGAGGAAACUCUGAUGCAGCGACGCCGCGUGAGUGAAGAAGUAAUUCGUUAUGUAAAGCUCUAUCAGCAGGGAAGAUAGUGACGGUACCUGACUAAGAAGCUCCGGCUAAAUACGUGCCAGCCGCCGCGGUAA
rnacentral:rRNA from 1 species